UUCUCAACCAAUGNGAGCCACAAUUCAACCGCCAUUCAUCUCAAGAACAGAAAGAGAUAAUAGUCAGCCUUUCAAUUAUUGAACUCUUAUCACAUGUGAGAUUUGGUUUUCGAUCUAGUGCUCCAUCUUCUUCGUACGUCUUCACUUUCACUUUGUCAUCUUCUAUACCUUGAUUAAUUUCCAAAAACAAAAUCACAAGCUCGAAAUCGGCUUCUCCUUCUUCUUCGGCUGGUGGGUUACAGGUACUUCUAUUCUACAACUUCUUUCUAUUCUCAAUCAAAAUUCAAGAUUUUAAUUUUAUCAAAUCGCUCAAGUUUAUUUCUGUAAUUUAUCUUUCUUGGUUUUAGUAUUUACUAUUAUUUAUACAGUCUCUAUUUUAUGCAUAAUUAUUUUGUACUAGUAAAAUGGUCUCCAUUUUGGGUUCCUUCAUAUACCAUCUGCCCUUGAAAUUGCCAUGCACCCACUCAAAAGUAAUUUUUUUUCAAAACUUGCUCUUAUAAUAGAUUUGAGUUAUGCCAGUUUGAUUUUCUGAUUUCUUUGGGGUAAUCAAUGGAAAUCUUGAAAAGAUGUUGAAGAAGGAAGGAAACCCAAUUUCCAAUUCUCUAUCUAAUUUAUGUUACUAUGUUUUCUUUUUUGUCACUAUCAUUGCUACUUGAUGCUAAUUUACCGGAGAGUGAACAAGGAAGAAAUAUGUUCUUAAGCUGAGUUUGAUGUAAAAGAAAUUACAUUUGCUUAAUUUUACCUUGGAGAUUGUUUGAAGAAUCUGAAUUUUACAGGGAAAAUACCAUCUCUUUGUUGUUUGUGAUCAAAUAAUAAUAGCGAUUCUUGGAAUGUGAGAAUAAGCAACAAUUGAUUUCCUAAUUUUGCUUAAACAACAUGGAAUUUCUAAUAUUACCUUCAACAAGAUAAGUUAAGAUGGUUUCCAAUAUCCAUUUUGUCCCAUGAGUUUGAUGUUGUUUGGAAGUUUGUCUAAAUUCUUCAAAACUUCAUCAACUUAUACUGAUGUGAAAUUUCCUUACUCUUAAUUCUGGCUUGGAAGGGUACCAUAUCAAUGUGGAUGGAAAACAUAUGACCUCAUUUCCAUACCACCCUGUAAGUUACAACUAUUGAGGAUCUAUGGUCUUGUGAUAUAUGGGACUUGCUCUAGUGUUCAAAUAAUGUUAUAGGGAUUCACACUUCAAGAUUCCACUGGUUUAUCUUUUAUGGGAGACAUUAAUGUCCACUCUUGUUUUCGCUGCUUCCUUGUCCACACCACACCCCAAUUUUGCACCUCAACAGAAUCUUCAUUGGUCUAACAGAUGGAAGGCUCCACCUAUUCUAGAAAGGGCUGUUAAACUGAUCCUUGGUAUUCUUUCAACGGGCAACAACUUUGCUGAACGUAUGGCUAUCAAGAAGUCUUGGAUGCAGUACAAGCUAAUAAAAUCUUCAAAUACUAUUGCUUAUUUCUUUGUUGCGCUGAUAGGUGAACCAAUUAAUAGCAUGCAUGCCACAAAUGUAACCUCUUUUAAUUCUUUUGUUGAAAGCUUCUGAAAUUUAUUCAAAAGAAUUUCUUUUGACAGCAUGCAAGAAAUGAAGUGAGUAUGGUGUUAAAUAAAGAAAUUGACUUUUUCAGAGACAUUGUGAUAGCACCAUACAUGCAUAACUAUGACUAAAGAAAAUUGCAAUAUGUAAAUAUGGGGUUAGUUGUGGAUUCAUUGAUAAAUUAAGGGUUGAUAUUAUGUUUGUACUCGAUUGAUUUUAUUUUGUACUUUAGCAGUUUAGAAGAGCUUUUGCAAAGUAUAUCACGAAAAUUGAUGACACAAGAAACAACUUGAGACCAAGAGCUUGUACAUUGGUUUUCUAAAUUAUUACCUUAAGCCUAUGCAAGGUUGUCAAUGGACAGUGACGUAUGAGGUACUAUUACAAACUUUUGACUUUUCAAUCUUUACAGUUGAUUUACUUGUUUUAUUUGUCGGUAUACAUCUUAUGUGCCUUGUGGUCAAUGCCAUUGCAAUUUAGGGUACUAAUUUAUUACUUGAGCACGAUGGUCUAUAAACCCUAAAUAUUGUUUCAUUUUAAUAUUCUUAUUCAUAUUUACUAACCCAUUCCAUUAGUUAACUCAAUGGUGAUAUUGAGUCCAAUUUUAAUACAUUUUAAUAAAGAGUCAAUCUCCUACAAAGCUUUGUGUAUUUAUCAUACUAUUGAAUCCCACUUGAUGCCAUUAGCAUAAUUAAUGGCAUCGAGUAGACUUGUGUGCAACUUGUGUUGUUUGCAAAACCAACAAGGGAAACUUAGUUUGCAGGAGUCCGGCAAAACUAUCGGGGAAAAGGAUUUUUUCAUUUUCUUACUAUUUUAUAUCCCCUCUUCAAGUACUUUAUGAUUUUGAUAGAGAUUUUUGCACUUCUAUAAUAAAAUGAUCCUGCAAAUUCAAAUUCUUUAGCAUUAGUUGCCUUAUAUAAACAUCAUUUAAAGAUAUCUUUUAGUGUCAUUUAUUUAGACUUUCUGUUGACCAUUGUGAACUCUAUUGUGAUUGAACUGGUCAACUAGAGCCUAUAUGGGAACUUGGAAUAUUUUUGAGAAAUGGAGCAAAUAAUAUGACUACUAUAUUUAGGAGCAAAAGGUUUUGCAUUGGAGUUUUUUUUUUGCCAUACUAGGAGUAACUCUUUUGACUAAAUAUAAAGUUAAAUGUCGUUAUUAUGUAGUUAUUCUUUUGGUCUUGGAAACACAUUAAGAGGAUGUUUGUCUAUGCCUAAAGAAAAACAAUUUUUUGGCUCAAGCAUGUUUGACUCAUUAUUUAUUUUGGGAGUGUGGCUCAUUAUUAUUUCAGGUUUGGAAUUUGUUUGGUACCGUUCAUUGUUAUAAAAGAAAAAGAAAUAGAGGAAGCCAUUUGCCAUAAUCUGCUAGGUAAUUCAAAAAUAAAGUCCACGGUAGCUACUUGGUCUUCUUCCUUCAAAUAUAUACUUACAAAUAACUCAGCCAAAGUAAUAGGAAUUAGUAAUUAAGCAAGGGUCCAAACGAUGCGCAGAAAUUGUAAUCACCGAAUGUAAUCACAGUGAAGAGUGAUAUUCUUCAGUCUUGAAAUCCUAUAGGUAACACAUGAGUAGUCAGUGUAGAGCGUGUGAGUUCUAACAAAAAGCUUGCUUAUUUGAGUAUCACUUUGACAUCCUUUUUCUUUAGAGCGAGGAAGAUUAAAAUGGAUGGUGCACAUCGUAGCAGUGGCCACCAAAGCACCAGAGGAGAAAAGCUCUGGUAAGAUUAGCAUUCUUCUUCGUAUGCUUAUAUGGGCUGAUCUCAGUAUUUUGUGUGAAAAUGUUGUCUGCUUCUAGACAGAAGCAUAAAGUUUAGAAACACUUGAACACACUAAAUAAACCUCCAGUCAAAAUCAUUCGGAUCUCUCCCUCUCUCUGUAUAUUUAUUUGUAUGUAUACAUAAAUUAUUGAAUUUCAUAUGGUCUUUUUUUCGAUUUAUCCUUAUUCUUUGUUAUGAUUUUGUGAAUAUCAUGUUAAGAAUAAGAAGAUUUUGUGUUUAUUUUUUAGGUUUUUGAGCGACAAUUCAAGAUCAACCAACCACUCAACUGUAUGAGAAUAAUUUUAGUUUAUGAGUUAUUCUUUUUUUCUCCCACUUCCAUUUUUUUCUUUUGCACCCCCCUUUUUUCUUUUUAUAUUUUUGGUAUUUUGACUUG
rnacentral:lncRNA from 1 species